UCCGGUUUGACACCGGCAGUCCCCUUAGAGUCCCCGACUUUACUCGAUGGUAACUAAGGGCAAAGGUUUCGCUCGUUAAGGGACUUAACCCGACAUCUCACGACACGAGCUGACGACAGCCAUGCAGCACCUGUACUAGUUGUACCCCGAAGGGCCUACUCCACUUUCAUGGAGAUAAUCCUAGCAUGUCAAGCCCAGGUAAGGUUCUGCGCGUUGCUUCGAAUUGAACCACAUGCUCCACCGCUUGUGUGAGCCCCCGUCAAUUCCUUUGAGUUUUAGCCUUGCGACCGUACUUCCCAGGCGGUCCACUUAGCACUUUUGCUUCGACCAUGAAAACCGUCAAGGCUCCACGAUCUAGUGGACAUCGUUUAGGGCCAGGACUAC
rnacentral:misc_RNA from 1 species